AUACUGAUGAAGAGUCCCAAAUAGGACGAAACAGCUGUCCAGUAC
rnacentral:hammerhead_ribozyme from 1 species